rnacentral:pre_miRNA from 7 species
GUCUAGGACCUCUGGGUGGUCGCGCUGUUUCCCGGCCAAUGCACCAAAUGAAAGAUUCCCGAAGGGAGACCCUUACUCAGACACUCAAGUCCCGGGACAGCCGCGUACCCAAGAAGACACUGAGACCA